rnacentral:tmRNA from 2 species
GGGGCUUUAACGGUUUCGACAGGUUGGCGAAAGCUUUUCUGUGAUUCAGGUCGAGAGUGAGUCUCCUCUCGCAAAUCAAAGGCUCAAACAAAAAGUAAAUGCGAACAACAUCGUAAGCUUUGCUCGUAAGGAAGCCCUAGUUGCUGCCUAAUAACCUCUUAUAGGUCCGAGCGUCUCCAGUUUGACUCCGUUAAGGACUAGAGACCAAACCCCAACGGAUGCCCUAACAAGUGUUCUCUGGUUAACUUGUUAGUUAAGACCUAAUCAGAGCAUCCUACGUUCGGGAUAAUGAACGAUUCCUGCCUUGAGGGUGAGAAAGGCUAAACCUGUGAAUGAGCAGGGAGUAAAUACCCAAUUUGGACAUGGGUUCAAUUCCCAUAAGCUCCACUU